UACGUAGGGUGCAAGCGUUAAUCGGAAUUACUGGGCGUAAAGCGUGCGCAGGCGGUUCUAUAGGACAGAUGUGAAAUCCCCGGGCUCAACCUGGGAACUGCAUUUGUGACUGUAGAGCUGGAGUGCGGCAGAGGGGGAUGGAAUUCCGCGUGUAGCAGUGAAAUGCGUAGAUAUGCGGAGGAACACCGAUGGCGAAGGCAAUCCCCUGGGCCUGCACUGACGCUCAUGCACGAAAGCGUGGGGAGCAAACAGG
rnacentral:rRNA from 1 species